rnacentral:rRNA from 1 species
ACCUACGGGGGGCAGCAGUAGGGAAUUUUCGUCAAUGGGCGCAAGCCUGAACGAGCAAUGCCGCGUGAACGCGGAGGGUCUUCGGAUCGUAAAGUUCUGUUGAAGGGGAAAAAGAGCGGAGUGAGGAAAUGCUUUCUGAUUGAUAUUACCCUUCGAGGAAGUCACGGCUAACUACGUGCCAGCAGCCGCGGUAAUACGUAGGUGGCGAGCGUUAUCCGUAAUGAUUGGGCGUAAGGGGUGCGUAGGCGGCCUGCUAAGUCUGGAGUGAAAGGUACCGGCUCAACCGGUACAGGCUCUGGAAACUG